rnacentral:rRNA from 1 species
AUUGAACGCUGGCGGCAGGCCUAACACAUGCAAGUCGAGCGGCAGCGGAAAGUAGCUUGCUACUUUGCCGGCGAGCGGCGGACGGGUGAGUAAUGUCUGGGAAACUGCCUGAUGGAGGGGGAUAACUACUGGAAACGGUAGCUAAUACCGCAUAACGUCGCAAGACCAAAGAGGGGGACCUUCGGGCCUCUUGCCAUCAGAUGUGCCCAGAUGGGAUUAGCUGGUAGGUGGGGUAACGGCUCACCUAGGCGACGAUCCCUAGCUGGUCUGAGAGGAUGACCAGCCACACUGUAGCUGAGACACGGUCCAGACUCCUACGGGAGGCAGCAGUGGGGAAUAUUGCACAAUGGGCGCAAGCCUGAUGCAGCCAUGCCGCGUGUAUGAAGAAGGCCUUCGGGUUGUAAAGUACUUUCAGCGGGGAGGAAGGUGUUGUGGUUAAUAACCACAGCAAUUGACGUUACCCGCAGAAGAAGCACCGGCUAACUCCGUGCCAGCCGCCGCCGUAA